rnacentral:rRNA from 1 species
CCUACGGGAGGCUGCAGUGAGGAAUAUUGGUCAAUGGACGAGAGUCUGAACCAGCCAAGUAGCGUGAAGGAUGACUGCCCUAUGGGUUGUAAACUUCUUUUAUAAAGGAAUAAAACGAGGCACGUGUGCCUUUUUGCAUGUACUUUAUGAAUAAGGAUCGGCUAACUCCGUGCCAGCAGCCGCGGUAAUACGGAGGAUCCGAGCGUUAUCCGGAUUUAUUGGGUUUAAAGGGCGCGUAGAUGGGUUGUUAAGUCAGUUGUGAAAGUUUGCGGCUCAACCGUAAAAUUGCAAUUGAUACUGGCAGUCGUGAGUACAGUUGAGGUAGGCGGAAUUCGUGGUGUAGCGGUGAAAUGCUUAGAUAUCACGAAGAACCCCGAUUGCGAAGGCAGCUUACUAAACUGUGACUGACAUUGAUGCUCGAAAGUGUGGGUAUCAAACAGGAUUAGAUACCCCAGUAGUC